UUUUGGGGCAAGUAAAGAAAAUUCUGAGGAAACAAAGUACUCGGAACUCAGAUAGCUUGAGCAGUACCGGUUGUUCCUUGUUUAAAAUCUUUUGUUGGUACUCAGAGAACAAAUGAGCAUCCUGAAUACCAAAAUAUUCCUUGUCAGCAAUCUCGAGAACAUCCUUCCCUUCAAAACAUGAUAUAAAGAAGGUGAGUGCAUCACGA
rnacentral:misc_RNA from 1 species